UCUUUCAAGAAACAAAAAUAAAAACAUGACUCCAACAAAAGCCAAGAGAGAUCUACACACCUCUUUACUCAAUUAGUUCAUCAACCACAGAUUAUUGAUGACUAUUUCAUGUGGCAAUCUUAAAAUAAACAAACCUUCAACUUCGAAAUGUAUAUUCUGAAUUUGGAUCCAUUUCCAUAAUACUAAGAUCCGUAGAGAAUGAACUAGCGAAGCAAACAAGACAAAUAAAAACCAGAAGGGCCUCCAUUCGUCUUAAGUGCCGAACAUACUGCCUGCAACUGCUCUUUCUAGUUUGAAAGCUUAAACUGACCCAAAAGCACAAACACAAUUGAAACUGACACUGAAACAGUGGAUGGUUGUCCACCAUUUCUUGGAAACUCCGUUAAUGAGCCACCGUUUUCGGCGGCGCUCACUUAUCUUCGCUCCAUAUUUCACCCGAUUGUUUAACCUCAUCCCCUCCCUUGGUCUUCCUCGUCCCUAUGUUACAUACCACAGAUAAAAUCGACAAGUUUACUAUGACUCAUUUCUCAUUUUAGUCAUGAUGCAACUCAUAAAUAUGUUGACACGACAAGAUGUUUUUUUCUUUCAAGUGUUUGAUAGAAAAAAAAAAGGGUUUUAAGUGAGGACUUUUGGCGACGGUGCAUGUUCACCCCAAUAUAUCAUGUUUUUCUUCUCUUUACAACAAAAGGGGUAAUAAAACCACUGGAUCUCGUUAGAAGUUUACUAUUUUAAGACGGUCAUCCCCUGUCACCACCACCGUUGCAUCAUUGACCGCCACCUCCUCGUCGAAUGUUCCAUCGGCGCUGCCGCACCACUGUGUUCCUUCCUUUUGCGGCACCAUUUUUCC
rnacentral:lncRNA from 1 species